rnacentral:rRNA from 1 species
CCUACGGGAGGCACCAGUGGGGAAUAUUGGACAAUGGGCGAAAGCCUGAUCCAGCCAUGCCGCGUGUGUGAAGAAGGUCUUCGGAUUGUAAAGCACUUUAAGUUGGGAGGAAGGGCAGUAAGUUAAUACCUUGCCGUUUUGACGUUACCGACAGAAUAAGCACCGGCUAACUCUGUGCCAGCAGCCGCGGUAAUACAGAGGGUGCAAGCGUUAAUCGGAAUUACUGGGCGUAAAGCGCGCGUAGGUGGUUCGUUAAGUUGGAUGUGAAAGCCCCGGGCUCAACCUGGGAACUGCAUCCAAAACUGGCGAGCUAGAGUAUGGUAGAGGGUGGUGGAAUUUCCUGUGUAGCGGUGAAAUGCGUAGAUAUAGGAAGGAACACCAGUGGCGAAGGCGACCACCUGGACUGAUACUGACACUGAGGUGCGAAAGCGUGGGGAGCAAACAGGAUUAGAUACCCGCGUAGUC